rnacentral:rRNA from 1 species
AGCCAUGCAUGUCUAAGUACAGGCCGCAAUAAGGCGAAACCGCGAAUGGCUCAUUAAAUCAGUUAUGGUUCCUUGGAUCGUACUUUGUUACUUGGAUAACUGUGGUAAUUCUAGAGCUAAUACAUGCAGCAGAGCUCCGACCCUCGGGAACGAGCGCUUUUAUUAGACCAAAACCGAUCGGGCCUCGCGUCCGUUUCUUGUGGUGACUCUGAAUAACUUUGGGCUGAUCGUACGGGCCCGUCCCGGCGACGUAUCUUUCAAGUGUCUGCCUUAUCAACUUUCGAUGGUAGGUUACGCGCCUACCAUGGUCGUAACGGGUGACGGGGAAUCAGGGUUCGAUUCCGGAGAGGGAGCCUGAGAAACGGCUACCACAUCCAAGGAAGGCAGCAGGCGCGCAAAUUACCCACUCCCAGAUCGGGGAGGUAGUGACGAAAAAUAACAAUACGGGACUCUUAUGAGACCCCGUAAUUGGAAUGAGUACACUCUAAAACCUUUAACGAGGAUCCAUUCGAGGGCAAGUCUGGUGCCAGCAGCCGCGGUAACCCCAGCUCGAAUAGCGUAUAUUAAAGUUGUUGCGGUUAAAAAGCUCGUAGUUGGAUCUCAGUUCCAGACGGGCGGUCCGCCUACCGGUGGUCACUGUCCGUUCUGAACAGCAGGCCGGUUCCCCUGGAUGAUCUUCACCGGUUGUCUUGGGCGACUGGCAAGUUUACUUUGAAAAAAUUAGAGUGCUCAAAGCAGGCGCGAAGCCUGAAUAAUGGUGCAUGGAAUAAUGGAAUAGGACCUCGGUUCUAUUUUGUUGGUUUUCUGAACGCGAGGUAAUGAUUGAGAGGGACAGACGGGGGCAUUCGUAUUGCGUCGAUAGAGGUGCCAAGAAUGUUUCCGUUAAUCAAGAACGAAAGUUAGAGGAUCGAAGGCGAUUAGAUACCGCCCUAGUUCUAACCAUAAACGAUGCCAGCUAGCGAUCCGGUCRUUUUCUCAAAACGAGUGGCCGGGCAGCUUCCGGGAAACCAAAGCUUUUGGGUUCCGGGGGGAGUAUGGUUGCAAAGCUGAAACUUAAAGGAAUAGACGGAAGGGCACCACCAGGAAUGGAGCCUGCGGCUUAAUUUGACUCAACACGGGAAAACUCACCCGGCCCGGACACAGGAAGGAUUGACAGAUUGAGAGCUCUUUCUUGAUUCUGUGGGUGGUGGUGCAUGGCCGCUCUUAGUUCGUGGAGCGAUUUGUCUGGUUAAUUCCGAUAACGAACGAGACUCCAGCCUACUAAUUAGUCGUUCCGAUCUCGUAGGUCGGACGUGCUUCUUAGAGGGAUUAACGGCGUCUAGCCGAGCGAGACGGAGCAAUAGCAGGUCUGUGAUGCCCUUAGAUGUCCGGGGCCGCACGCGCGCUACAAUGAGAGAGUCAUCGCGCGAUACCCCUGUUCGAGGGAACCGGGUAAACGUCUGAAACUCUCUCCCGCUUGGGACCGAGCUCUGCAAUUGGCUCGUGAACGAGGAAUUCCUAGUAAGUGCGAGUCAUCAGCUCGCGUUGACUACGUCCCUGCCCUUUGUACUCAUCGCCCGUCGCUAUUACCGAUUGAAUGGUUCAGUGAGUUCCUCGGACCGACCGUCGGGGCUUCCCUUGGGGUCGAACCGUGCGGAUGGAAAGUUGAACGAACUCGAUCAUUUAGA